GGUGGGUUCAGUUCACUUCAGUCCUGUUUUAGUUCAGUGUUGAAGUCCUAGUGUGGCGAUGCCUUUUGCUAAUUAAACUAAAAAAAUUUGACAGAAUUGAAUCCUGCUACGGAUGGAUCCGAAUAUAUUUUAAGUGUUUUAUUACCCUCGGGGCCGUCUUCCAGGCGCACAGGCUCGAGUAGCAGAACCGUUACAUUAGUAAACAUGAAGUCCGAGAGGUACGACAUCAUUUUUCAGGCUCUCCUCUUGAUUCACAUCCCUGUAGCCUGCCUCUUCACUGCAGUGUCUGCUCAGUCUGACAGCAGCAGCGUGGUGGUGGCAGGGUAUAAUGUGAGCGCCUCCGCUGGGUCGAGGGUGGUGCUGCAGUGUGUGAGUGGCCGCAUGGUGUGGACCAGGGACAGGGUGAGGGACAGGCAGAGGGUGGUCCACUGGGACAUGUUCCGGGCCAGUCCAGAUUACGCAAUGGAGAGGGUGCUGGACAUGUUCUCCACAGGGGACAAGAGGAUCUACAACUCCUACAACCAGGGUAGGGUUGGCCUCAGCCCAAGAGCCUUCAGCGAUGGAAACUUCUCCCUCGUCAUCAAAGACGUAGCAAUGAAUGACAGAGGCCUGUACUCCUGUAACCUCCACCACCUCUACUGCCACCUGUACGAGACAGUCCGAGUGCAACUCAACGUCACUAAGUCACGUCGUAAGGCGCAGCGCUUCUGGGACGGCCAAAAGGCUGUGUACGUGGUGCUGCUCGGCAGUACUGUGGUGCUGCCGUGCAUCAACCGGCGUAACGUGUGGACGGACUGGAGCGACGAGGAGGAGGAUCAGCAAGUGGUCCAUUGGGACCGUCAGUCCCCGGGAGUCCGCCGCGACCGAGCUGACCGCCUGGUGGACCUGUACGCCUCGGGGGAACAACGAAGCUACGGGCCGCUGUUCCUCCAGAGGAAGAUGAACCUCAGCAAUCAAGCCUUCUCGGAGGGAGACUUUUCUCUUUCCAUAUCUGAUCUGCAGCUCACAGACCAGGGGAUGUAUUCCUGCCACCUUCACCACCAUUACUGUGGUCUCCAUGAGAGGAGAGAGUUUCAGGUAACAGUGGAAGCACCAGUGAUUCAGACCAUACCGCCAGCCAAAGCACUGCCCAGUGAAGACAAAGACACCAAGAAGGACGAAUCCCCGCGAGUCAUCAAAGUGAUUCUGCCCGACCAGAGGCAACACUUCCUAAUGCCACUGGGCUACAUCCUCACCUCCUUCCUGCUCCUGGCCUUUAUUAUCCUCAUCAUCAUCCUCAUCACACGAAGACAGAGGACCAGAGCAAUGAGGUGUCUCUUUCUUACUGUGUUAGGUCCAGCAGAAGUCACAGUAGCUCGGAAGACUUUGAGAUAGGCGUUACUGAAGUGAGCGCAUGCAGUCGAGAGGAGAGAAGGUUUGACUUUAAGAACAACCUGCUGCAAGAGAAGGUACAAAUGAAGACUCUCGCUAAAGUCAUUGAUCUUGACAAUGAGAUGCAGAAAUUUUCAAAGUGAGGAGAAGUGGAACUGGAGUCUCUGGCUGGUCCAGCCACAGACUUAACACCCUCUGUCCGGACAGGAGACAGGCAAGAGACAAAAUGUUAUUAACUUCAGAAAAAGCAGUAAACAUAGCUUACAUGCUCACACGUUUUUUUUCUUUCUUCAAAUUGUCCGUAUUAGUAACGAAGAUAAGCAGAUUUUGUUUAAAUUGUGCUCAAUCAGAAAAAACAAAACAAAAAACACUUGACUCGGCCCAAAACAGGAUAACAACGCCACCCAGAGGCGAAUCCAAAAUGUAAAGCAGUCGCCUCGACUGUUAAAUGAAGGAGCAAGUGUGGAUGAAUUGAAUUGCGUAAAGUUGAAUAAUGGGUUAUUACAGCAUUUGGUCAAAGUACCUCAAAAUAUUUUUGUACUUUUUUUCUUACUCACAUAUUCAUUUUCGCUUAGCCCCUGAUUAGUGUGGACUAAUUCCUGUAGGCUUUGAUUAACUGAAUGCUAACGGACCAUUGAUGCAGUGUAUGUAAAAAUGUAUCAUUACGAUGCUCAGACUAUAUUUUUUGGUUUGUUCCAUUUUAAAUGUAUUAAAAUUCAAUUAUUAAAACUUGUUUAACUGAA